rnacentral:rRNA from 1 species
AAGCGUUGUUCGGAAUUACUGGGCGUAAAGGGCUCGUAGGUGGCCAACUAAGUCAGACGUGAAAUCCCUCAGCUUAACUGGGGAACUGCGUCUGAUACUGGAUGGCUUGAGUUUGGGAGAGGGAUGCGGAAUUCCAGGUGUAGCGGUGAAAUGCGUAGAUAUCUGGAGGAACACCGGUGGCGAAGGCGGCAUCCUGGACCAACACUGACACUGAGGAGCGAAAGCCAGGGGAGCAAACGGG